GUCGUCUCUCUUUCAAUAUCCUCUACGACUUCUUGCUUCUUUUCCUUUCCGUGAGGCAUCUUAGAAAAAGGGCAAGGGAGAACUUGAGGAAUGAGUCACCAUUUCAUCUAGACUCCAACAUAGAAAAGCAGCGCCUGUACUAGGAAUGGAAGGAGGAAAUGGAUUAACUUGUUGAUUCUAAGCUUAGGGAAGUCGUCAAUAGUUAUUGAUUAGGUUAUCUAAGUGAAAAGCAAGAGGUGUGAAUCCCAGAAAUUCGAACCCUGUGAGACGGACUACACGUGGAUAGCUAAGUUCAUAGUCUUUGUGUAAAACAAGUUAUAGAAACGGAAAGCAUUCAGGUAUCGCAGCAGUUGACGAUCGUUCUCGGGGCAAGAGGCCCGUGGUUGAUGAGUAGAUCUGAGCAUAGAUGUUGCCUGCUUAUUUUGGGAGUCUGUUGUAUAUAUACGUUACAUUGUGAUCUGGUUAUUUGAUAUCUUGUCGAUGCAUGGUUAUUAGCUGGGCUUUUUGAGAGGCUAUACUAGCCUAUGUACAGAUGUAUAUAGUCUAUGUAGCACCGAUACGACACGCGACACGUGACACGACACGACACGACACUCCGACACAUCAAUUCUAAAAAAUUAUGGAUUUUGACACAU